rnacentral:rRNA from 1 species
UUUCUUCUCGCUGUAGCAGAAAGUUUAGUGAACCUUAUCACUUAGAGGAAGGAGAAGUCGUAACAAGGUUUCCGUAGGUGAACCUGCUGAAUUUAAGCAU